GACGAACGCUGGCGGCGUGCUUAACACAUGCAAGUCGAGCGGAGCGGCGAACGGGUGCGUAACGCGUGAGUAACUGCCCCCCUCUCUGGGAUAACAGUUGGAAACGGCUGCUAAUACCGGAUAGUGGGGGAUGACUCGCGUCCUAUCAGCUUGUUGGUGGGGUAUUGGCUGAACAAGGCGACGACGGGUAGCCGGCCUGAGAGGGCGACCGGCCACAUUGGGCUGAGGUACGGCCCGAACUCGUACGGGAGGCAUGAGUGGGGAAUAUUGCACGAAGGAGGAAACCCUGAUGCAGCAACGCCGCGUGCGGGAUGACGGCCUUCGGGGUGUAAACCGCUUUCAGCCAUGACGCGGUAGUGGCAGAAGAAGCACCGGCUAACUACGUGCCAGCAGCCGCGGUAAUAC
rnacentral:rRNA from 1 species